rnacentral:rRNA from 1 species
UACGGAGGGAGCUAGCGUUGUUCGGAAUUACUGGGCGUAAAGCGCACGUAGGCGGCUUUGUAAGUCAGAGGUGAAAGUCUGGAGCUCAACUCCAGAACUGCCUUUGAGACUGCAUCGCUUGAAUCCGGGAGAGGUGAGUGGAAUUCCGAGUGUAGAGGUGAAAUUCUUAGAUAUUCGGCAGAAUACCAGUGGCGAAGGCGGCUCACUGGACCGGUAUUGACGCUGAGGUGCGAAAGCGUGGGGAGCAAACAGG